rnacentral:misc_RNA from 1 species
AAUUCCAGGUUGUUAAUAGAAUGUUUGUGAAUUAAGCAUGAAAUGAGGGUAUUUAGUGGCUUACUGUAGAAUGUUAUAAUAAAAUGGUGCAAAUUCGGGAUGAAAAAUUACGUUCUUGAUUCUGUUAUUUACCACAUCAAGAUCUCUGUUCUACUGUAAUCAAGCUUCCAUUUGGCAAUUUAUACAUUUGUAUUUCAUAUUAAUGUCAAUAAAAUUUAGUACAGAACUCA